GUUCAAUAUGACUGCAAUAAAAGAUCAAGAGUUUUCGUAAAAAUCGAUAAAAAAUUGAUAAAGAAAUAGCGUUAAUCUUCAUAAACAUACCCGCUAGUAUAAGCAGCCAAUAGCCAGUUCAUUAGCAACGCCGUAGUUGCGUCGACUUUAGAUUGCUGUGAUACCGGGACCCUCUUGUUCAACGCGUGAAACAGGGAAGACAGUAGUGUUUCGAGUCUGGAUACCCCUAACGUGCUCGACGGCUCUAACGUGUUUAGACCGUUCUCUCGAAAUGCCUCGAUUACGUUCCAUAUGUCGACGUUGUGCACUGUAUACAAUUAUGCAUCAAUCAUUACAAAGCUUGCAGGCAGUACGAUAUGACGCAAAUCGAAUGGUAUCAAAGUUCUGCUGUCGCAUCUCUUGUAGAAGCUGCAAACGACUCAUCUCGCCGCUACUUCCGUUUCCCGAUCCACCUGCGCCUUCUUCUGCCAUUUUCACUGCGAAAAAUGAACGAAUAAUGUAUUUAUGUAUUAAUUAAUGUAUUUCUACGUUAAAUCUUCUUCCUGAAUAUUUCUUUAUUCAUAGCGAAUGUUGUUUCACAACGAAUAAUAUAAUCUUGCACAUACUUGAGAUUUAUUAAUGAUUAUGUUUCUUUUUAAAGGAGUAGUAAAUAUGUCGCAUAAAGAUAAGCAACGUACCGUGAAGGCCGAAUAAUAAAUAGUAGAUGACAAUCAAUUAUCUUGCGCGUUUUUUUUUUCAACGAAUGUUAUGUAACAAUUUUGCGUUAACAUUUUAAAUCAGAUAAACAAAAUAGGACGUUAUUACGUGCCACGUACUAGAAUAACAAUAACUUUCAUUUGCUGAAAUUAAUCGCAUUUUUUAGCAGCAUUCAUGCAAAUAUAAACACGACACGGUAGAAAAUCGUAAUAUCACUUAAAUUUGCUGCAUUUUCUUGUUUUAACUCCAACCAUUUCAAACGACGUAUUUCGUCUUAAUUUGAUGGAGCUCUCUGUAUAAUAUAUAUAGACGUGCAACUAACGAAGCUGUGUUCUUAAUUCGUAAAGGACGUUACGCGAUGCAUGGUGAUUGCGAGAAUGAAACUCUUUGUCAUCAACUGAAGGAUGAACUAGAGAGAGAACUAAUUAGUAAUGAUUAGAAUGUACAUGCAAUAUAUUCAUCUUAUGAAAGCAACCACGAUCUAAUAUGAUGUUAUUAACAACUGGAGAUUUUCUGGACUUUGUUCGUACGUAUGUGAAUCUACAUAAGCAGAAGUGACUAAAAUAUUAUAAAAAUAUUUUUAAAAUACGAGAGAUGUAUAUACAUAUAAAGUGCUUUUUAUCUCAGCUAUUUGUUAACUAUUUAUAUAUAUUUACUAAUUACUAUUUAAUUACUAUGUAAUUACUAUUUAAAUUUCUCUCCAGUUAUAAAUUGAUAAUAAACAGUUUUCAUUAUUAAAUAAUAAGAUGAUCAAAUAUGUUAAUAAAGCAAUGAAAUUUUUUUUAUAUACCGUUUUCAUGCAAUGUUUAAGAAGCAGAUAACUGAUAUCUUUUUUUCUUUAAAAAAAUAUUUGAGAACUAUAAUAUUAAAAAGAGAAUAUACUGCUAAUGAAUUACUAGACAUACGUGAUUAUUUAUUUUAUUUGUGAUUUUAACAUUCAUAGUAUUUUUUGUCAUGUGAGUUGCUGAAUAUUAUUCUCUCUUCUAUUACAAUUUCUUCCUCAUAGAUUUUUCACGUGAAAAUUAUACUUUGGGAAAAAAGUUAAUUCAAGAUCGUCCAACUGUAACAAUGUAAUCCGUUCGUACACGAUUGACCUAGUUAGUAAACGUCGAUACCCGAAGGUGUAAUUGAUUUAAAACCGACUGUUCAUCACUCAGGGGGUACAAGCUUUAUUUUUUUUUUCAGUCACCAAUUUCUUACUCUCUCUUUGUAAUCGACACUCUAAAUUAAGCAGUAUAUUUAUUAAUCUCGGAAACUAUUCAGAAUAGUUCAAUUAUUUUGCGAUACGGUAAUAUUAAUUGAAGUUAAUUUUUGGGCAAAAUAAUAUUUUAUUAUGCAUGAAAUAAUAUUAAUAAAAAAAUAUUAAAAAAAAAAGUUUAAUAUCUAAAAUCUCUAAACGUUUUAAAUCUUUUUCAGAAAAGUAAUAGUGUGUUUAUUUAUCGUUUAAACAUUUUUAUCUAUAUUCAGUGAAUUAGGAUGAAAUAAACUGGAGUACCAAUAAUAUACUUCAUUUUCUCGAAAUAUAAUAUCGAGUAUCGCAUCGUUUAACCGUUCUUAAUAAUUGAUCGAGAUUGUAGCGGAAUAGACCGGAAUAGACUGAUCAGGAAGCAAUGAGGUAAUAUCGGCGAUAGGUUCAACGGAAUGAGGGAACUAAACGAGGAUGCCUAAGUUUGAAUCAAUACGAUAAGUGGGCCAGGUGGGGGAACGUAAGAUCGGUCAAAGAAACGGUGGGAACAGUCGGGAAAGGAACGCCAGGUGCGUUUGAAGGAACGCGGGAAAUGGAGCGACUAAAAGGCGCGGCCAAUUUCAUCUCGUUGAGAAAUCUUGAUGCGGUUGAUCUGGGAAUCGCGAAGUUCAACGCCCGCAACAAACGAGAUCGAUAUAAUUUCAACAACGUCGACGGGGACCUAUUGGACCAGGUGGACCUUCUGAACCGAUUCCCUCGAGACCUCUGUCCCCUUUUUCUCCGCGUUCUCCUGGUGGCCCCUGUGGUCCGAUGAGACCUUGCGGACCCGGUAAACCGACGAAUCCACGUUCUCCCGGCAAACCUGGCAAAUGAAAAGCGCAAAGAAUUGGUAAUCCUGACUCGAUGAUGUACCUGGACGACCUUGGGGACCAGGCGAUCCAAGACGGCCCGGACGACUUCGACCGGGCGGACCGGGUGGGCCUUGCAUGAGUGCUGCCAUUUCGGUCAUCUGUUCUUUACAAACCAUCUCGACCACGUUCUCCGGUAUCACCCUUCGGACCUCUUUGGCCUGGCGGUCCAGGAGGCCCUGAUAAUCCUGGCAAUCCUGGAGGACCUAGUGGCCCCGGCAGACCUGUUACGC